rnacentral:rRNA from 1 species
UGGGGAAUUUUGGACAAUGGGCGAAAGCCUGAUCCAGCAAUGCCGCGUGUGUGAAGAAGGCCUUCGGGUUGUAAAGCACUUUUGUCCGGAAAGAAAUCCUUGGCUCUAAUACAGUCGGGGGAUGACGGUACCGGAAGAAUAAGCACCGGCUAACUACGUGCCAGCAGCCGCGGUAAUACGUAGGGUGCAAGCGUUAAUCGGAAUUACUGGGCGUAAAGCGUGCGCAGGCGGUUUGCUAAGACCGAUGUGAAAUCCCCGGGCUCAACCUGGGAACUGCAUUGGUGACUGGCAGGCUAGAGUAUGGCAGAGGGGGGUAGAAUUCCACGUGUAGCAGUGAAAUGCGUAGAGAUGUGGAGGAAUACCGAUGGCGAAGGCAGCCCCCCUGGGCCAAUACUGACGCUCAUGCACGAAAGCGUGGGGGAGCAAACAGGAUUAGAUACCCUGGUAGUCCACGCCCUAAACGAUGUCAACUAGUUGUUGGGGAUUCAUUUCCUUAGUAACGUAGCUAACGCGUGAAGUUGACCGCCUGGGGAGUACGGUCGCAAGAUUAAAACUUAAAUGAAUUGACGGGGUCAUAGCUGUUUCCU